GGGACCAUCCUAAAACAGAGAAGGAAAAACAAGACCACCCAUCCCCCGCCUCUUCGGAGCCUGAGCAAGGACAAGCUGAUUAAUUUUCUCUGGUCGCCCUCGCAAUCCCUCAGGGACGCUUCGCUUUGCCCCAGCGUUCGGCCGGCGGCCACGCAUAUCCCUCCGGCUGCAGGGGCUCUGCGAAAGCCCGAGGAGGAGGAGGGUGAGAAAGAGGAAGGGAAGCUUAUCGACAGUAUCAGUUAGAACCCCCACCGAACAGCACGUGUGAGCAAGACAUCCAUAGGGUGAAGAACACAACAGAUCUGAGACACCCUGGUAAUGCAGAGGAAUAGUUACAUAUCAAGGUGUGUUAACUUCUGAGAAGAGUUUUCCAGGAGGUCAUAUUUUGCAGUCUUCAGGACUAGACACCCAAGUCAUGAACAAAGCUCCCCAAUGUACCAUAUACUCUUUGUGUUUAAGAUCUAUUGACCACUAGAGAAUGCAUUCUUGGGCUUUCUAAAAUAUAUGAAAUUACACAGGCUGAAG